GAUGAACGCUAGCUACAGGCUUAACACAUGCAAGUCGCGGGGCAGCAUGGGGGUUGCUUGCAAUCCCCGAUGGCGACCGGCGCACGGGUGAGUAACGCGUAUCCAACCUGCCCUUCACCACGGGAUAACCCGGCGAAAGUCGGACUAAUACCGUAUGUUGUCCAUUGACGGCAUCCGAUUUGGACGAAAGGCUUGGCGGUGAGGGAUGGGGAUGCGUCCGAUUAGCCAGACGGCGGGGUAACGGCCCACCGUGGCUACGAUCGGUAGGGGUUCUGAGAGGAAGGUCCCCCACACUGGAACUGAGACACGGUCCAGACUCCUACGGGAGGCAGCAGUGAGGAAUAUUGGUCAAUGGGCGUAAGCCUGAACCAGCCAAGUAGCGUACAGGAUGACGGCCCUAGGGGUUGUAAACUGCUUUUAUGCGGGGAUAAAGUGGCCCACGUGUGGGCUUUUGCAGGUACCGCAUGAAUAAGGACCGGCUAAUUCCGUG
rnacentral:rRNA from 1 species